GCCUAACACAUGCAAGUCGAGGGGCAUCGGGGCGAGGAGCAAUCCUUGCCGCCGGCGACCGGCGCACGGGUGAGUAACGCGUAUGCGACCUGCCCGUUGCAGGGGGAUAAUCGGGAGAAAUCCCGUCUAAUACCGCGUAAUGCCGCGGGGCUGCAUGGCCCUGCGGCCAAAGGAAGCGAUUCCGGCAACGGAUGGGCAUGCGUGACAUUAGCUAGUUGGCGGGGCAACGGCCCACCAAGGCGACGAUGUCUAGGGGUUCUGAGAGGAAGGUCCCCCACACUGGUACUGAAACACGGACCAGACUCCUACGGGAGGCAGCAGUGAGGAAUAUUGGUCAAUGGGCGCGAGCCUGAACCAGCCAAGUCGCGUGAGGGAUGACGGCCCUACGGGUUGUAAACCUCUUUUGUCGGGGAGCAAAUUCCGCCACGUGUGGCGGAGUCGAGAGUACCCGAAGAAAAAGCAUCGGCUAACUCCGUGCCAGCAGCCGCGGUAAUACGGAGGAUGCGAGCGUUAUCCGGAUUUAUUGGGUUUAAAGGGUGCGUAGGCGGACUGUCAAGUCAGCGGUAAAAUACGGGGGCUCAACCUCCGCCCGCCGUUGAAACUGACGGUCUUGAGUGGGCGAGAAGUAUGCGGAAUGCGUGGUGUAGCGGUGAAAUGCAUAGAUAUCACGCAGAACUCCGAUUGCGAAGGCAGCAUACCGGCGCCCAACUGACGCUGAAGCACGAAAGCGUGGGUAUCGAACAGGAUUAGAUACCCUGGUAGUCCACGCAGUAAACGAUGAAUACUAGCUGUCCGGGGCGAAUGAGCCCUGGGUGGCACAGCGAAAGCGUUAAGUAUUCCACCUGGGGAGUACGCCGGCAACGGUGAAACUCAAAGGAAUUGACGGGGGCCCGCACAAGCGGAGGAACAUGUGGUUUAAUUCGAUGAUACGCGAGGAACCUUACCCGGGCUCAAACGACACAGGAACGUACCUGAAAGGGUUCGGCUCUACGGAGCCUGUGUCGAGGUGCUGCAUGGUUGUCGUCAGCUCGUGCCGUGAGGUGUCGGCUUAAGUGCCAUAACGAGCGCAACCCCCAUCGACAGUUGCUAACAGGUCAGGCUGAGGACUCUGUCGAGACUGCCGGCGCAAGCUGCGAGGAAGGCGGGGAUGACGUCAAAUCAGCACGGCCCUUACGUCCGGGGCGACACACGUGUUACAAUGGCAGGUACAGCGGGAAGCCACCUGGCGACAGGGAGCGGAACCCGAAAGCCUGUCUCAGUUCGGAUUGGAGUCUGCAACCCGACUCCAUGAAGCUGGAUUCGCUAGUAAUCGCGCAUCAGCCACGGCGCGGUGAAUACGUUCCCGGGCCUUGUACACACCGCCCGUCAAGCCAUGGAAGCCGGGGGUGCCUGAAGU
rnacentral:rRNA from 1 species